GACGAACGCUGGCGGCGUGCUUAACACAUGCAAGUCGAACGAAAAGAGGGAAAGAGCUUGCUCUUUCCGGAAUUGAGUGGCAAACGGGUGAGUAACACGUAAACAACCUGCCUUCAGGAUGGGGACAACAGACGGAAACGACUGCUAAUACCGAAUAAGUUCCAAGGGCCGCAUGGCCCAUGGAAGAAAAGGUGGCCUCUACCUGUAAGCUAUCGCCUGAAGAGGGGUUUGCGUCUGAUUAGCUGGUUGGAGGGGUAACGGCCCACCAAGGCGACGAUCAGUAGCCGGUCUGAGAGGAUGAACGGCCACACUGGGACUGAGACACGGUCCAGACUCCUACGGGAGGCAGCAGUGGGGAAUCUUCCGCAAUGGGCGAAAGCCUGACGGAGCAACGCCGCGUGAGUGAUGACGGCCUUCGGGUUGUAAAACUCUGUGAUCCGGGACGAAAAGGCAGAGUGCGAAGAACAAACUGCAUUGACGGUACCGGAAAAGCAAGCCACGGCUAACUACGUG
rnacentral:rRNA from 1 species